CUGACAGUGCUUUGUUGUCGCUUGCAUGUGCAGUCACGAAGAAAAACUUUAACACGUUUGUAAGAGAAGCAGAAAAGUUGACCUGCAGACUCCUGCCCGUAUUUGCUUUAAAGUCAAAUUUGGAUGCACAGGAAGGCUUCAGGUGAGGGGUCGUGAUUGGUGUCCGGUUACAAAGCGUCACUGGGGUCUGAUCGGGAGCCAGAGACCACGGAACUACAGCAAAAUGUAGGCUCGGUCUUUCUGGGUCUCACUUUUAAAACUGGAGAAGACGAGGCAAAAAGGUUUUGCUCCAAUCACCAAUGCCGCCGCCCCAUCGUCCGUGAACCGUCGCUAGCCGCUCCCUGCAAUCACCGUGCCUCGACUUGGGGCCUUCUGGAAGGAGAAGUUUUAAGUCAAGUAUUUGAUUUUCGCACGCCUUUCAACAGGAACAUUCCAUGUGUUCUAUCCUUCAUUCCACCGGAGUCUGUAUCUGUACAUAACCAGAUUUCAGUGGCGUGAAGUGUACGAGACAUGGAGGCUGCACACCAGACCACCAGCUAAAGAAGGCGCUCUUCUCAGUGUAGUUCCGAACACUUCUCAAGUCGUUAGCGCACUAUAUUUUUGCAGACCAUGAGGUGCUUGAGCAUUUGCAUUACUUGAAAUUUCUGACCUUUCUUUCAGUGUCUCGUGUUCGAUCUGCAUAAAGUGAAACUGAAUUGUGGUGUUAUGGUGCAAAAAUAAAAAACUCCCUACAUCUUA